CGUCAUCCCCACUUCACUGCGGCUAUAGGUCUAACGUCAUCCCCACUUCACUGCGGCUAUAGCAAUAGGUCUAACGUCAUCCCCACUUCACUGUGGCUAUAGCAAUAGGUCUAACGUCAUCCCCACUUCACUGCGGCUAUAGGUCUAACGUCAUCCCCACUUCACUGCGGCUAUAGCAAUAGGUCUAACGUCAUCCCCACUUCACUGCGGCUAUAGCAAUAGGUCUAACGUCAUCCCCACUUCACUGCGGCUAUAGCAAUAGGUCUAACGUCAUCCCCACUUCACUGCGGCUUUAGCAAUAGGUCUAACGUCAUCCCCACUUCACUGUGGCCUCCUCCGCCACACCCACACUCCAGAAUCCACCCGUGUCUGGAGCAACCGUGGAACUGGGAAACUGCGAUGGCAAUUAUGGACAAUAAAACGUACCAAGUGGUCGAGUUGUACCUGGCUAAUCUUUUCCGUAUGAAGACAAACCCCUCACACAGUGUGGGACAUUGUCUUCCUGACACUUUGCUCUUCCUCUUCAAACCUCCCCCUCAUCCUCAUGAUGUUGCCUACCUUCCCCCGCGUGGGUGAUCAAGCCCGCAUCCUCAUGGAGUGAUCUAGUCCGUCCGUCAAAUAGGGGUCCAGCCGCUCCCUUCAUUAAGUGGUCCAGCCUCCCUCUCUUGAGGUGGUCUAAGUCUCUCCCCCAUGAAGGUGUCUAGCCUCCCCCUUUCUAAUGUGUAAUAAAUACUGUGAACGUCUCCCAGGCUUUCUUCCCUGUCUGGCUCAGUUGGUGGAAUGCAGUCAGAGCCUCGGCCAUCUCUCUCCCACCCACAUUAACUCUCAUUAUCUAGGGCUAAAUAAACCCAGGAAGAGUUUGAGUGAUAAUGCAAAUCUGUAAACAGUGCAUUAAAUAAAUAGCAGUACAAUGUGUUGUCUUCC
ensembl:lncRNA